rnacentral:snRNA from 1 species
GGAGGUGAGGAUGAUCUGGCUGGCAUCCCCUUCCUCCCUCACCGCUCCAUGUGCGUCCCCCCAAAGCUACUUGCUUAGUUGAAGAGGACAAGCAUCCGCAAUAGCGGACUAUUUCCGAGGUCAAGGGUAUAUGCAAGCAGUUGUGCCCCACGGCCUGAACUUCCAAACAAGAUCUCAAGGUCCAAGUCUGCUUUCUGCAUGCCAACCCACUCAGCAUUCCCUACAGUCCUGGCCUGCACACUUCUGUUCCAGAAACU